AGGAGACAAAGCAAAUAAUGACAAACUGUGUCAAUGAAGCACAUGAAUUUGGGUUUCUGGAAAGGAACUCGCCUACUGGAUGAUUCAGAAGACAGUGAAUGAAGCAGAGGAACAAAGAAAUAAGAUAUGGGGCAGUUCAGAGAGGAAGAACACAUUCAUUUGAAUGUGUGGAAUGGUCUUAACUAGAAAAUGAUGUUGGCAUUACAGUAGGCCCAGGUCACGGCAGGUGGAGUACACUAGAUCAAGGCUUCUCUGUACCUGGUCUGGAGACCUGCCUUUGAAUGAGCCAGUCAUCAAGAUAUGGAAACAGGUGCCCCCCGACGCCUGAGGUCCGGAAUGAGAUUGCCACGACCUUGGUGGUGGGGACAGCCAGAACGGCUGACAUGCAGACUGCGGCAUGUGGAUGCCCAGUGAACGGAGGGUGGCUUUGGUGUCCUUCAUCCCAUGCAGCCUCGCAUCCAUUUGAUCAGAAAACAGACCAUUCCCAUCAAAAGGAAGGUCCUGAAUGGAGGUCUGCAUCUCCUGAGAGAGCCCAGCGGUUUGAAGCCAGGAGCUGUGCUUCAUCACCACCACGGAUGCCACCACCCCGGCCGCCAAGUCCGCCACAUCCCACGCAAUCUGCAGGGCACAGAGAGCCACUGAGGUGCCCUCCUGCACCAGGGUGAUGAAUUCCUGGGCCCAAUCUCCUUAAAUUUAUCGAGAGUCCCCCAUAAAUUGAAGUUAUAAUAGCCCAGGAGGGCCUGGUGGUUUGCCACCUGAAACUGUAGACUUGCAGUGGAAUAAAUUUUUUUUUUCCAAACAA